rnacentral:rRNA from 1 species
GUUUGUUUAAGCCAGUAGGUGGAAAGAGUAGGCAAAUCCGCUCUUUCUUAACACCGAGACGUGAUGACGAGUGUCUACGGACAUGAAGUGACCAAUACCACGCUUCCAGGAAAAGCCACUAAGCUUCAGUUGAAUCAGAACCGUACCGCAAACCGACACAGGUGGGCAGGAUGAGAAUUCUAAGGCGCUUGAGAGAACUCGGGAGAAGGAACUCGGCAAAUUGAUACCGUAACUUCGGGAGAAGGUAUGCCCUCUAAUGUUAAGGACUUGCUCCGUAAGCAUCUGAGGGUCGCAGAGAAUCGGUGGCUGCGACUGUUUAUUAAAAACACAGCACUCUGCUAACACGAAAGUGGACGUAUAGGGUGUGACGCCUGCCCGGUGCUGGAAGGUUAAUUGAAGAUGUGCAAGCAUCGGAUCGAAGCCCCAGUAAACGGCGGCCGUAACUAUAACGGUCCUAAGGUAGCGAAAUUCCUUGUCGGGUAAGUUCCGACCCGCACGAAUGGCGUAACGAUGGCCACACUGUCUCCUCCCGAGACUCAGCGAAGUUGAAAUGGUUGUGAAGAUGCAAUCUCCCCGCUGCUAGACGGAAAGACCCCGUGAACCUUUACUGUAGCUUUGCAUUGGACUUUGAAGUCACUUGUGUAGGAUAGGUGGGAGGCUUUGAAGCAGAGACGCCAGUCUCUGUGGAGCUGUCCUUGAAAUACCACCCUGGUGACUUUGAGGUUCUAACCCAGACCCGUUAUCCGGGUCGGGGACCGUGCAUGGUAGGCAGUUUGACUGGGGCGGUCUCCUCCCAAAGAGUAACGGAGGAGUUCGAAGGUUACCUAGGUCCGGUCGGAAAUCGGACUGAUAGUGCAAUGGCAAAAGGUAGCUUAACUGCGAGACCGACAAGUCGAGCAGGUGCGAAAGCAGGACAUAGUGAUCCGGUGGUUCUGAAUGGAAGGGCCAUCGCUCAACGGAUAAAAGGUACUCCGGGGAUAACAGGCUGAUUCCGCCCAAGAGUCCAUAUCGACGGCGGAGUUUGGCACCUCGAUGUCGGCUCAUCACAUCCUGGGGCUGUAGUCGGUCCCAAGGGUAUGGCUGUUCGCCAUUUAAAGUGGUACGUGAGCUGGGUUUAAAACGUCGUGAGACAGUUUGGUCCCUAUCUGCAGUGGGCGUUGGAAGUUUGACGGGGGCUGCUCCUAGUACGAGAGGACCGGAGUGGACGAACCUCUGGUGUACCGGUUGUUUCGCCAGAAGCAUAGCCGGGUAGCUAAGUUCGGAAGAGAUAAGCGCUGAAAGCAUCUAAGCGCGAAACUCGCCCAAAGAUGAGACUUCCCUUGUGGUUUAACCAU